rnacentral:ncRNA from 21 species
AUGCUCAUAGGCGAUGGAGUUCGCCAUUAACCACUGGAUAACAGUUAAUGACUCCUGCGAAACA